UGAAUCAAUUUGUUGGGGUUGUUGGAGUUUACAAUUUCAUCUUAUCCAUCCUCUUAUAUCUACUUUUCUUAUCUAAUUCGCUUAUUUAUCAUAUUGUCAUGCAAACUUUCUUGGUCUACCCUUAACCCAAUUCCUUGGCGAAAAGAGCCUAUUACUAAUUACCGGCUUGCUAUCCCAAGCCUCCCCUAGCAAUUAAUAAUGCAUAAUAAACAGAAGCAAAAUACAAUUGGUCGUCCUACCCCUAUUCCUAGGCGAUAUUAGCAUAAUCAAGGAAUUUCCC
rnacentral:lncRNA from 1 species